rnacentral:rRNA from 1 species
CCUACGGGAGGCUGCAGUGGGGAAUAUUGGACAAUGGGGGCAACCCUGAUCCAGCCAUGCCGCGUGUGUGAAGAAGGCCCUCGGGUUGUAAAGCACUUUCAGUGAGGAAGAACGCCUGGUGGUUAAUACCCAUCAGGAAAGACAUCACUCACAGAAGAAGCACCGGCUAACUCCGUGCCAGCAGCCGCGGUAAUACGGAGGGUGCGAGCGUUAAUCGGAAUUACUGGGCGUAAAGCGCGCGUAGGUGGCUUGAUAAGCCGGUUGUGAAAGCCCCGGGCUCAACCUGGGAACGGCAUCCGGAACUGUCAAGCUAGAGUGCAGGAGAGGAAGGUAGAAUUCCCGGUGUAGCGGUGAAAUGCGUAGAGAUCGGGAGGAAUACCAGUGGCGAUGGCGGCCUUCUGGACUGACACUGACACUGAGGUGCGAAAGCGUGGGUAGCAAACAGGAUUAGAUACCCUGGUAGUC